AUUGAACGCUGGCGGCAUGCCUUACACAUGCAAGUCGAACGGUAACAGGUUUUCGGAUGCUGACGAGUGGCGAACGGGUGAGUAAUACAUCGGAACGUGCCUAGUAGUGGGGGAUAACUACUCGAAAGAGUGGCUAAUACCGCAUGAGAUCUACGGAUGAAAGCAGGGGAUCGCAAGACCUUGUGCUACUAGAGCGGCCGAUGGCAGAUUAGGUAGUUGGUGGGAUAAAAGCUUACCAAGCCGACGAUCUGUAGCUGGUCUGAGAGGACGAUCAGCCACACUGGGACUGAGACACGGCCCAGACUCCUACGGGAGGCAGCAGUGGGGAAUUUUGGACAAUGGGCGCAAGCCUGAUCCAGCAAUGCCGCGUGCAGGAUGAAGGCCUUCGGGUUGUAAACUGCUUUUGUACGGAACGAAAAGCCCUGGGUUAAUACCCUGGGGUCAUGACGGUACCGUAAGAAUAAGCACCGGCCAACUACGUGCCAGCCGCCGCGGUAAGAC
rnacentral:rRNA from 1 species